GUAAAGUAAUAAAUGUUCACUAUAGAAGAAUUUGACAAUACAAAAAAAAAGUUGAGACAAAAAUUUAAAAAUAUGUAGCCUCUAAUGUUCCAAAACACUUGCUAACACUUUAUUUUUCCUUCCCAGCCUUUUUCGUCCUCAUUCGUGCUUCUAGGGAAGGAAGUACAGUGGCUGCCUCUUAAACAGCCAUACUACUAAAUAAAGUAAGUACAUGGGUUUUGUUCUAUCUUUCAAAAUUUAAUGUUAUAAUAUAAGCAUUUUUUCUGUGUUUGAACUUAUUUGCAAUAUGCAUUCAAAGCAGCUAAUUUUUAUGGUGUGACUGAAUAAAGAGUGUAGCUCCAAGUUUUCCCAGACCCAUUAACAGCAAGGAUGUAUAUUAAAAGUAAACAUAAACUUGGGGUUAUUAUUGAUAUUGUGUCUGUAUUUAAUACUUUCAUCAUUGCUGGGAAUUUGGUCUUAUUACUCUAUUUUCUUCCAUUAAAACACACCUGGUUGUUAUGAACACCUGUUAACACAUUGGUAUUUUAUUGUUUUAGGUUUUUGUCUUUGUCACAGUAAUAUGAUAAUUUAGCUUCAAAUCUCCAACAGCAUCUAGCAUAUAUUUUGCAUAUAGUAGCCAUUAAAGAAACCCUUUUUAAACUGGACCUACUUGGAAAGAUUUUAAUUACAAGGAAUAAUGACUUAUCAGGAAUUAAAGAAUCUGUGAAUGAAAUACCAAGUAAAUGUAUUAGUUACUUUCUACCUUUAUAAAAUUUUCAGAUAUGAGUGUGUAUGUGUUUGGCCAUCUCCCAAAAUUAUUUUUGCGUAAUUAUCCUCUCUUUUUCUUUAAAAUACAAUUUAUGAAUUUUUUCAUUAGCAAAGUAAUAAAUGUUCAUUAUGGAAAAUUUCCUACCUAUAGAGAAAAAAGAGCUCUUCAUGGCCCAUGCCUAAUAGUAAUAUGUUUUAGAAAUAAUACUAACAUUCUGAAAUCAUAUAAUUGCCAUUCAGAUUAUUUUUCCAAAAUAAAAGAAAAUAUCUGGUAUAAAAUUUUAAAAUAACUGCUGAUCAAUCAACGAAAUGAAAAGUGAAAAUAAUUAUCUUAAUUUCAACUUACAUCAACUUUAAUCCAUCUGUAAAGUUAACCGCCUUUCCUUUUUAUUAGAAAAGUGAAUUAGUGAGGUAUAUAAAAUGCGGCAUACAUUCCAAAAUGUAUACAAUACAUUCCAAAGUCUCCAUUGAUCCUCUGGGCUUUCCUGCCACUUUCCAUCUGAAUUUUCUGUCCACCAGUCCUUACAAACUAAACCAGUUUCACUGAAGCACAUAAUGCAAACAAACCCCAGGCUCCAUUCUCAGUGAAGACUAAUGAAAACAAGGAAAGCCACAAUCAGAGCUGUAAGAAACACUGACACAAGCUACUGGCUGGCCAAUCUUUAAUCGGUGCUCCUGAGAUUUUUUUUUAAUGAAUGAAGCAUGCUCCCAACAACACUGUGAUCCACACGCACACAAAGACGCCACGUGCUGCUUGGGAGACACGCAAGAGCCGGACACACAGGAGCCUGAGCGUGGUCAUUCUGUGAUCACAGGUAUCUCUGGGACGUGAACGUGAUCAUUUUGGUCACCAGGAAAUGGGUGGCUCUCUGCGUUACCUUUCCCAUAGCUCACAAAAACCAGCCUCUCAACUCAGGAGCUAUGCUAGUUCCAAAGUCACCAGAGUUGAUGACAUCUUAGAAGAAGUAAGCCGGAGGCAGGGGCCAGAUUCUGAAGGAGGAGGCCCUCGCUUCCGGGUGUGUGCUGAAAUGUGUACCAACCCGAAAUGACACUUCCAGGUCCAAAAGGUUGUCUGGAAAUCAUUACAAAUGGCAAAGGACACAGAGAAGUAAACAUAGCUGGAAAUACACAUGAAGAAUGCUAUAAUUUCAAAAGUAUUAUUAUAAAGAUACAAGUAAUUAAAAGGGACAUUUUAUCAGAUUCAUGUCUAUCUCUUCUACGUAUUUUAAAAUCUUAAUACUAAAUAUAAACUAAAUAUGAGCUUCCCCGCUCCCCAUAAUCAAUAAAAUGGGAGUGAGGGAUUUACCUUGAGGAAUUUAGUACAUUGAGGAUUUAAGUUAAAACUGAGUUAAUUUAGCAGCAAUUUAAAAUAUUUCUGCAAUGAAGGAUAACAAUUUUGACAAUUAUACAGUAAGUGUGAACUAAAUAACUACUAAUUCCUUUUGCAGUAGUAAUCAAAAUUAGUGAUUUUCUGACCCACAUUCUAAUUUAGAUCUAGUGAACUGCUAGAAAGUAUUUUAGUGAUGUUAAAAAAAAAUGAUAAAAGAAAGACGAAGUUCCAGUAACAGCAAAUAUUUGCUUAAAAGUUUCACAGCCGACAUAUUUAUCCAUGUAUCCAUUAAACACAUGUUACAAAUAGUUGUUUCAAGAAUACAUCUUCCAGCACCUACUUGAGAUUCUGCUCUGUGGUGAUUAUUUGGUUCAUAGUUCCUGUUUCUGCUCCUCUGGGGUGUUUAUAGUUGAGUAAAACCCUGAUUUAGGGUAGGAUCCAUCCAUAAUCACUUUGGCCCAAGAGAGAUAGCCUCUGAAAAUUUAAAAGACUUAUCAGCAUCUGCCUGUUUACUCAUCAGCAGCCUGCUUCCAAAUACCAUAGCUUCAGCAUCUGCAUGGAAUAAAGCAGCUGUCACCAAAAAAAAAUAUGACUUACUUUCUGCCCUAGACAUACAGUUACUUGUUAGGGAAAUAAAACCAGGUAAGUACUUUGGUUCUCUAAACUAGAACAACAACAAAAUUAUUUUAAAUAUUCAGAAGAGCUAAAGAGUGGGACAUGAAAAGAGAAAACUUCAACACAAUAAAAAAUUAGAUUUGAGUAUUAUAAGAAGAAAAUUAAUCUACAGACAGAUAGUAAGCACUCUAAGAGAAUGAAAUCAAACACAAUCUUGGGAUGCAUGUAAUGAAAUUUUAGAAAUAGAUAACAUAUCACCAUUUCAAAACCCACAGGAUAUAAGCCCUAAAUCCUCUGUACAAUCAGAGAUGUGUGAUCCAGGACCACUUAUGAAAGGAUAUCAAGAAGUAUGAUGAGGUCCCAUUGUGGUUCAGUGGGUUAAGGACUAGAUGUUGUCUCUAUGAGGAUGUGGGUUCAGUCCCUGGCCUCACUCAGUGGGUUAAGGGUCUGGUGUUGCCAUAAGCUCCAGCAUUGGCUGAAGCUGCAGCACCAAUUCAAUCCCUAGCCUGGGAACUUCCUCCAUACACCACGGGUGCGGCCAUAAAAAGAAAACAAAAACCAAAAAACAAAACAAAAAUGUAUAACAAGGGGCCUAAGAAAGGGGAAGUUUGGGAGAUGCCAUUUCAGCUUAUAAUGAGCUCUGCCAAUAUCUGAAGAUGAAAAACAAGUAGUUACAAAACAGAAAAAAAAAAAAAAAGAGUUAAUUAUAGAAUAAAGAGAACAGUGGAGGAAUACAGAGGUAAAGUCAGAAAGGCCCAGAAACAAGCACACCAGCCAAGCCUACUGUGGGCAAGUGGAAGCCAAAAUGCUAAGAUGCCCACUAUCAUUCAUUUUGAAAAUGUAUGAACAAAUUCAUUUUUAGCAGUUGGAAAUGUUAUAUGCUCCCUUUUUCCCUUUAAAUUAUACCGCUACUGAAUUUUAUUCUAAUACAUUUUUAUGCCUCAAAGUCUUAUUGAUCACUCUGCAUAGUUCCUACAACAAAAAAUAUGUAUGAUUUCCAUGGCAACCAAAUUACAUAGACUAUUCCAUUAAGUAGGCUACUUAGGGGAAUUCAGUAAGCAUAAAUGUAUGUCAUCCAAGCUAUAAAACACCCACAUCUCAAAUUCUUACUAUGAAAUUUGUUUUAAAAAAUACAGCGGCCCAAGCCUAAAAUGCUUUCUUACACUACUGAAUAUGACAUAUUUUGGAUAUUAUGUGGGACUAUUUUUCUAUGCUUGAAUUAUGGUCCUGUUGCCUAUUUCAUGUCCUAGAAAUUGCUUUCAGUUUUUGAAGACCCUUUCAGAAAAAUUCAUGACACAUAACUGCAAUAUACCCCACAAACAAUUAAAAGUUGUUCAUAAUUAAAUUAUUUUAAAAAGGUGGUAAUUUUUUAAAACACUUAAAACAUGGUAAUAACUUGACUUUUCCUUAGAGUUUAACUCCAAUAAUUGUGCAAUUAUGUCUUUUAUAUGUUUGGUAUUGCUCUAUUGGAAUAAUUUUAAAGUGUCAUUUUGAAAUAUAAAGGAUAUUUUAUUGCUAAUCCAAAAGUAAAUAAAAAACACUUUUAAAAAGAUCAGAAAAGAGGGAGUUUUGAACAUUUGCACAUUUCUACAGCAGACAUCUAAUAACACUUAUUAACUCACUUUUAAGAAAAAGGUUCCAUUUUAAUUAAAGAUGUUAAGUGUUAGCAAAUUAAAAAAUUAUUAGAUUUUUAUUUCAUAAUAAAGAACAAAGACUCAUUCAUCAAUGUUUAUCUAGUAAUGCCAUAAUCAAGUCCUAACAUACCUAACUUUUAACUUAAUACGAAAUACCUUCAUUAUUUCUGAGAAAUCUGUUGGAGAAACUCAGGUACAUUUGGGGAAAAAACAAUUCUUAGUUUAAUUUGUCUAGGACUGCUUGAAUAAUGAGACUAUAUCAAGACAAAGAUAUCAAGAAGUCAAGACUGUAGUUAUCUCAACAAAAGGUAAAAUAACGGCAUAUUAAAAUAUUUAUGAAAAUUUGUAGAAUUUUCAAUGCUCUAACUUGUUAUAAAAACCACUCAUUUCCACUCCUUCCCCAUGAAAUAGUGAAAGUCAUAGAAGAAUAACUGGAUUAUCAAUUUUUCUUUUUCUUGCUUGUAUUUUCCACAAGUCACUCAAUGACUUAUAAAUGUUUCACAGUUAUGUUUCAAUAUUUCAAAGGCAGGCUGCAGAUAUAAAAUAUUUCAUUGUUAUUUUUCUUGUUAAUCAUGUUUAUUGAGUGAAAGGUAAUGAUAUUAAAAUACAGUAUUUCCCACUUUAAUCAUAAGAAGUAGAUCAGCAUAAUAUUUCCAAUAUUUCCAUAAAUUGUGCAAUAGACACUCAGGAGGAAAAAAAGCAAUAACUUGCUAGACAAUGAAGUAAAGCAAUUAAGCAUCUUUUCUUGAACAAAUCACUCUUUAUAGAAACCAAAGCAGAAAACUGGUAUGAUCAAUGUUAAUGUCUAUGUUUCAUGAAUUUUCUGC
rnacentral:lncRNA from 1 species